GUGGAAUUUGCAAGCGGUGGAGAUGUGGAGAAAGUAUUUGCAAGCUAAAGUUCCUGUACACCAACAAGCAAGGAGAACGGAAGCACUAAAGAAACACCUAAAAGUUCAAAAAAGGUGGAAGAUUGGAUGUAUAGAUUUCAACUUCCAGCACAUAGAACAGCUUCAAUUGAUGAUGAAUUGUUGAAGUCCUUUCAGCCUCAAAUUGUGGCCAUUGGUGAACAAUUUGAUUUUGAUAAACUAAUUAUCAUCUAUGAGGGCAUUAUUCUAUGCAGCAAACCACAACAAAGCAUUGUAAAUAGCAUUGUGGCUUUGCUGUCAUCAUUUUAUAUAUUCAAUAUGUGGUGUAUAAAGACAGCAAAGCCAUAUUGUCUUUCCUAGAGCAGGCCCUAAUGGGUAUUGGCCAAGGUCAUACUUUGCUGAAUGUCAGCACUUUCUUUAACCCUUUAACUCCCAUGAGUGACCAAGAGAAAACUUCUCCUUACAAUCUCAGCACAAUUUCAAGUAGAAAAGUGAUGAGAAUAAAGUAGAAUAUGAUCUAGGGGACUUUAAGUUGAUCCAAUACUAAAUUCUCCCAAAUAAUAUCAAAAGAUUGUAUGACAGACAGUAAGAGGAAUUACUAAUACGAUCUUGGGAGUGAAAGGGUUCUUGAAAUUUCAGAAUUAGAAUCAUUGGUAGAAUUUAUUUGUAAUUUCUGUUUGUAUGAAGAAAUGUACAAUUAACAUUGGAUAUUCUCAAUACUGUGGUUUAUAGCCCUUUCACAGCUGUUUUAUGCACAUGUAUUAUUUUCAGUUUGCCAAUAAAAGGUCACAGCUGGAGAAUGCAAAUCUUUA